CCAUGACGGUUUAAAGUGGCGUAAACAUGGUUCAUUACAUGUAUGGGGUAGAUGUGGCCUUAGUUUUUUCUUUCUUCCCUCUUUAGAAAACGCAUUGUUGAAAGUGUGUGUGGCGUGGACAGGCACUUGAGGAGAACAGAAUGAGCGAGGGGAUAUGUUUCUUGGGAGCCACGGUGUACUUAGGUAAGGGUGCUGAGGGUUGUAAGGAGACCCCCUGUUGCCCUCACAGGACUGCAAUUCCCAGAACAGUUCAGUAAUCUAUUCCUCCUCCCAAGGAGGUUACAUAACCAAUGGCAUGCACAGCCUGAACACCAGAAAUAGAUAGGAAACUGAUAUACAUACUUAGUCCUCUUUUCCAUACAGGAUGAGGGUUGUACUCAAAGGCUCAUGGAAAAAGGUGUGUUUGGAGGAGGGAUUUCAAGGGAAAGGGAGAGGAAGCACCCUGAAGGUGUUUUGGGGAGGAAUUCCUGGCCUAGCGGAGCAACUGAUGCGUCACAGUAACAGUACGAAGCCACCUUUCUCUGUCUCUCUGUAGGUGAGGAAGAGUAAUUCCCGACAGCGCGGAAACCGAACCUAUUAAAGCAGGAAAUUGUCUGCUUCCUCCUGCUGCAGUCCAAGCCCUGCCUCUGUUUGCUCUUCUGACUGGAUACCGAAAGUCUGGAAAUUGGUUAUCAGGGCUGAGGCAGGAAAAUUGGAAGCAAUGUGAUCAUCAUAUCCCAGCAGGAAAUGGAGGGGAAAGAAGGCAAGAGGGAAUCACCAUUUCCUCUAGGACAGGCUUCACCAACCUGGAGUUGUCCAUAUGUUUUGGGAUACAACUCCCAUCAGCUCUAGCAAGCAUGGAGCUCAUGAAUGCUCAUGGUCAUAUAACAGCCCCACAAAUAAUAUUGAGUAUCUGUCCUGAGUGUUUAUUUUUUAUUGCUUCACAAACGCUUUGUACAAAAUGCAAUAAAGACUACUUUAAAACAGUUAAGAAAACAAGAGAAGACAAAUUUAAAAACAAGAGAAGACAA